AGUCGAGCGAGCUUGCCUAGAUGAUUUUAGUGCUUGCACUAAAUGAAACUAGAUACAAGCGAGCGGCGGACGGGUGAGUAACACGUGGGUAACCUGCCCAAGAGACUGGGAUAACACCUGGAAACAGAUGCUAAUACCGGAUAACAACACUAGACGCAUGUCUAGAGUUUGAAAGAUGGUUCUGCUAUCACUCUUGGAUGGACCUGCGGUGCAUUAGCUAGUUGGUAAGGUAACGGCUUACCAAGGCAAUGAUGCAUAGCCGAGUUGAGAGACUGAUCGGCCACAUUGGGACUGAGACACGGCCCAAACUCCUACGGCAGGCAGCAGUAGGGAAUCUUCCACAAUGGACGAAAGUCUGAUGGAGCAACGCCGCGUGAGUGAAGAAGGGUUUCGGCUCGUAAAGCUCUGUUGGUAGUGAAGAAAGAUAGAGGUAGUAACUGGCCUUUAUUUGACGGUAAUUACUUAGAAAGUCACGGCUAACUACGUGCCAGCAGCCGCGGUAAUACGUAGGUGGCAAGCGUUGUCCGGAUUUAUUGGGCGUAAAGCGAGUGCAGGCGGUUCAAUAAGUCUGAUGUGAAAGCCUUCGGCUCAACCGGAGAAUUGCAUCAGAAACUGUUGAACUUGAGUGCAGAAGAGGAGAGUGGAACUCCAUGUGUAGCGGUGGAAUGCGUAGAUAUAUGGAAGAACACCAGUGGCGAAGGCGGCUCUCUGGUCUGCAACUGACGCUGAGGCUCGAAAGCAUGGGUAGCGAACAGGAUUAGAUACCCUGGUAGUCCAUGCCGUA
rnacentral:rRNA from 1 species